rnacentral:rRNA from 1 species
UACGUAGGGGGCAAGCGUUGUCCGGACUUACUGGGCGUAAAGCGCGUGCAGGCGGAUUGGUAUGUGCCGUGUGAAAGCUCCCAGCUUGCCUGGGAGAGGUCGCGGUAGACAGCCGAUCUGGAGGCUCGGAGAGGUUAGUGGAAUUCCCGGUGUAGUGGUGAAAUGCGUAGAUAUCUGGAAGAACACCAAAGGCGAAGGCAGUGUCCUGGGUGGUCGCUGACGCUGAGAGGCGAAAGCCAGGGGAGCGAACGGG